rnacentral:tRNA from 1 species
UACUAUAUAGUUUAAAAAAAACUUUAAUCUUGUAAAUUAAUAAUAAAUAUCUUAUUUUAUAGUAA